ensembl:snoRNA
AGCCUCUUUCUAGAUGAGAAUUGGCACUGUCGAUCAUGGUGUCUGAAAAUUGUAAGUAGCUAGAUUGAAACACGGGUUAUGCUUCCAUAACAGUAUAUGUAUUACAGUGGUAACAAUGAAACCUGUAACAUUU